rnacentral:rRNA from 1 species
GAUCAUGGCUCAGGAUGAACGCUAGCUACAGGCUUAACACAUGCAAGUCGAGGGGAAACGAUAGAGAAAGCUUGCUUUUUCUAGGCGUCGACCGGCGCACGGGUGAGUAACGCGUAUCCAACCUGCCCACCACUUGGGGAUAACCUUGCGAAAGUAAGACUAAUACCCAAUGACGUCUCUAGAAGACAUCUGAAAGGGAUUAAAGAUUUAUCGGUGAUGGAUGGGGAUGCGUCUGAUUAGCUUGUUGGCGGGGUGACGGCCCACCAAGGCAACGAUCAGUAGGGGUUCUGAGAGGAAGGUCCCCCACAUUGGAACUGAGACACGGUCCAAACUCCUACGGGAGGCAGCAGUGAGGAAUAUUGGUCAAUGGGCGAGAGCCUGAACCAGCCAAGUAGCGUGCAGGAUGACGGCCCUAUGGGUUGUAAACUGCUUUUAUAAGGGAAUAAAGUGAGCCUCGUGAGACUUUUUGCAUGUACCUUAUGAAUAAGGACCGGCUAAUUCCGUG